rnacentral:rRNA from 1 species
UACAGAGGGGGCAAGCGUUAUUCGGAAUUAUUGGGCGUAAAGGGCGCGUAGGCGGCUUGGCAAGUGGGUGGUGAAAUCCCUCGGCUUAACCGAGGAACUGCCGUCCAAACUGCUUCGCUUGAGACCGGGAGAGGUGAGUGGAAUUCCCAGUGUAGCGGUGAAAUGCGUAGAUAUUGGGAGGAACACCAGUGGCGAAGGCGGCUCACUGGACCGGUACUGACGCUGAUGCGCGAAAGCGUGGGGAGCAAACGGG